CUGGAAAGUCCACGUUUUUUUUGCCAACAGU
rnacentral:piRNA from 1 species